rnacentral:lncRNA from 1 species
GCCUAUAAUAUUGUAGGCCACAUUCCAGAUUGGAGAGACCUUACCAAAGUACGGCCUUUCCACAAAGCACUGCCAAACACCAGCUGGCUGUCUCCAUGGGGCAACACCAUAUCUCUGGCUCUUGUUUCCCCAGGAGAUGCUCUAUUCCAGCCUUCCCUUACAUUUUGUAUCCCGCACAUUUCCUAGCGUAAGGCCUCAAAACAUAGCAGGCUGCCGAGUCACUGCUGAUCUACUACAUAUCUGACUUCAGACUCCAGCAGAGCACUUUGUGUUUGAGAAAUUAAAGAGAAGAGAAUGGACCCAGACUGAUGCUGGCCAACUUAGCGGUCCAAAGAUA